CAAAUCGCAAAUUUGUUCCGCGGCACAAGGCGUCAAAUCGAUUUUUCCUUUCCCCGUCAUCGUGCCGAACUGAUGACCCAAGCAACCUGAUUUCUCGCCGCCGCCGCCGCGCCGCUGCGCGCGUGGCGGUCGGGUCGUCGGGAGGGGGGUCGACGUCAGUAGGAUGCCGGGCGCCGGGGGACUGGAGCUGGCCGGCCGGCCGGCUGGUGAUGGUGGUGGUAGCCGCCCGGCGAGGCGCGUCUGACAUGGCUGGGCAAGGUGCGCUACAUCCCCAACAGCAAGGGGCGCAGCGGUCGAGGGCCGGCAAUGGAGCGGCCCCGUGGUGGUUGAUCCUUCUCGAUCGCCCACGCCGGAGUGUGAAAGAGGAGAUACGACCUUUGAGGCUAUGGCAAUCAGAAGAUGAAGCUGUAAGAGUGACAUCGAGGAUAACUACAUGGAAACACCAGAACCAGGUUUUGCCUUGUUGCACAUCCUUCUAGCUUCAUAGUUUGUGUUUUAUGUCAUUAAAGAACUGGGGAAGAACUCUGUUCUCUUGUGCAUUCUGUUUUUUCUAAUCGUACACCGUACAGUGCCUACUUGUGUAUUAAUCUCAGUUUAGAAUCCAUGCUGUUUCUAUCUCAAAUAUUGGGGCAGAGAUCCUGCUGCCUUUUUUCUAGAAGAAAAAUAAUGGAACAGAGAAUUAUUUACUUUACAAAUUUCUCGUAUGCAUUUACCUGGUCUUUUUGGGUUGUGCGGCCACUUUCAGAGUAGAGACAUUUUUUUAGUUUGUAUGUAUGCAAUUGAAAUCGUACAGGAGAUACAGAAGAUGAGGUCAUGCAUGACGCCAUGCAGAUAGUAGGACGUCAUGGCACAAUCAACAUCAAGUAGCAAAUGAAGGUAUCAGAUCUGCAGGUGCGUGGACAUACUUUGGCGAAAGAGCAAAGGAGAACUUCUGCAGGAUCAUGGCCAUCACCAACUUUGCUUCUAACAUUGCAAAGUUUUGACCGAUGCAUGACCUUGGUCCUAUUGAGAAUCCCAGAUGAGCAUGUGGGAUCUUUGCUGCUCUUGUGACCCCAUUUGCAAAUCUCAGCGGGUUGAACUCAUCGGCAUCGUCACCCCAAACCUCCUUGUCUCGGUGCAGAAUUGGAAUAGGUAUCACAAUCGCAGUGCCUCUAGGACCUCCUCUCUCAGCCGAUCCUGCCAUUCUGGAUACACACUGAGCAAGAACAUUGUCCAUGAUCAGCUCAUCUCGUUUUUCUCCUUGCUCUGUUGAGAAGCAAGCAUUGAGCAUCACGCCAAGAAGAUCAUCGCCGUAUCCAUUUCCUUCUGAGGUAAUUCUGGACUGUAUAAUUUGCAUGAGCGUGUUCCUUAAC